UGAAGCUAGACCGUAAGGACUAGUGGAGCGCUUAGAAGUGAGAAUGCCGGUAUGAGUAACGAUUCAAAGUGAGAAUCUUUGACGCCUAUUGGGGAAGGUUUCCUGGGCAAGGUUCGUCCACCCAGGGUUAGUCGGGACCUAAGACGAGACCGAAAGGUGUAGCCGAUGGACAACAGGUUAAUAUUCCUGUACUGAGUAAAAUGUGAUGGAGUGACGGAGAAGGAUAGUCUUACCACUUA
rnacentral:ncRNA from 1 species